GCCCUACGGGGUGCAGCAGGCGCGAAAACUUUACAAUGCUGGCAACAGCGAUAAGGGAACCUCGAGUGCCAGGUUACAAAUCUGGCUGUCGAGAUGCCUAAAAAGCAUUUCAUAGCAAGGGCCGGGCAAGACCGGUGCCAGCCGCCGCGGUAACACCGGCGGCUCGAGUGGUAACCGUUAUUAUUGGGUCUAAAGGGUCUGUAGCCGGCCGGAUAAGUCUCUUGAGAAAUCUGGCAGCUUAACUGUCAGGCUUUCAGGAGAUACUGUCUGGCUCGAGGCCGGGAGAGGUGAGAGGUACUUCAGGGGUAGGGGUGAAAUCUUGUAAUCCUUGAAGGACCACCAGUGGCGAAGGCGUCUCACCAGAACGGACCUGACGGCAAGGGACGAAAGCUAGGGGCACGAACCGGAUUAGAUACCCGGGUAGUCCUAGCCGUAAACGAUACUCGCUAGGUGUCGGCCACGGUGCGACCGUUGUCGGUGCCGUAGGGAAGCCGUGAAGCGAGCCACCUGGGAAGUACGGCCGCAAGGCUGAAACUUAAAGGAAUUGGCGGGGGAGCACCACAACGGGUGGAGCUUGCGGUUUAAUUGGAUUCAACGCCGGAAAUCUUAC
rnacentral:rRNA from 1 species